GCCCGGAUGGUGAAAUGGUAGACACCGUAGACUCAAAAUCUACUGCUGAAAGGCGUGCAGGUUCAAGUCCUGUUCCGGGUA
rnacentral:tRNA from 1 species